rnacentral:rRNA from 1 species
GGGUUAAGUCCCGCAACGAGCGCAACCCUUGUCUUUAGUUGCCAUCAUUAAGUUGGGCACUCUAGAGAGACUGCCAGGGAUAACCUGGAGGAAGGUGGGGAUGACGUCAAAUCAUCAUGCCCCUUAUGCUUAGGGCUACACACGUGCUACAAUGGGUAGUACAGAGGGUUGCCAAGCCGUAAGGUGGAGCUAAUCCCUUAAAGCUACUCUCAGUUCGGAUUGUAGGCUGAAACUCGCCUACAUGAAGCUGGAGUUACUAGUAAUCGCAGAUCAGAAUGCUGCGGUGAAUGCGUUCCCGGGUCUUGUACACACCGCCCGUCACACCACGGGAGUUGGAGACGCCCGAAGCCGAUUAUCUAACCUUUUGGAAGAAGUCGUCGAAGGUGGAAUCAAUAACUGGGGUGAAGUCGUAACAAGGUAGCCGUAUCGGAAGGUGCGGCUGGAUCACCUCCUUUCUAAGGA